rnacentral:lncRNA from 1 species
GUGGGGUCCUUGAAGGGUUAGUUCCUCUACUGUCAUCAUUGCUAUUUUCUGCUUGCAGUAUGAGGUCCUCGAAGGUUUAGCCUCUAUCGGCCAUACGGGGUCCCUAAAAGAUUAGCCCCUGUCGGCCUCAGUUGGUCGUACAAAGUCCUCGAAGAGUUAACCCAUUCAUCUUCAUCAUCGUAGCCAUCGCUUGACCUACUUAUAGGCAAGGAGCACCAUAUGUGUUGAAUGUAUGCCCUAGAAGUCAAUCUUGGCUGACGUAUAUCAUAUCUCUAAGAUAUGAUUUUGUACUUUAUGGAUAUUUAUGU